rnacentral:rRNA from 1 species
AUUGAACGCUGGCGGCAGGCCUAACACAUGCAAGUCGAGCGGAGCGGCGGACGGGUGAGUAAUGCCUAGGAAUCUGCCUGGUAGUGGUGGAUAACGUCCGGAAACGGGCGCUAAUACCGCAUACUAUCAGAUGAGCCUAGGUCGGAUUAGCUAGUUGGUGGGGUAAAGGCCUACCAAGGAGACGAUCCGUAACUGGUCUGAGAGGAUGAUCAUUCACACUGGAACUGAUACACGGUCCAGACUCCUACGGGAGGCAGCAGUGGGGAAUAUUGCACAAUGGGCGAAAGCCUGAUCCAGCCAUGCCGCGUGUGUGAAGAAGGCCUUCGGGUUGUAAAGCACUUUCAGCGGGGAGGCGUUACCCGCAGAAGAAGCACCGGCUAACUCCGUGCCAGCAGCCGCGGUAAUAC